UGGGGAAUAUUGGGCAAUGGGGGAAACCCUGACCCAGCAACGCCGCGUGAGGGAAGAAGGUUUUCGGAUUGUAAACCUCUGUCGCCAGGGACGAAAGAAAUGACGGUACCUGGUAAGAAAGCCCCGACAAACUACGUGCCAGCAGCCGCGGUAAUCCGUAGGGGGCGAGCGUUGUCAGGAAUUACUGGGCGUAAAGGGUGCGUAGGCGGGUUUACAAGUCGGAUGUGGAAUACCCGGGCUUAACCCGGGGGUGUCAUUCGAAACUGUAAGACUUGAGUGCAGAAGAGGAAAGUGGAAUUCCCAGUGUAGCGGUGAAAGGCGUAGAUAUUGGGAGGAACACCAGUGGCGAAGGCGACUUUCUGGGCUGUAACUGACGCUGAGGCACGAAAGCGUGGGGAGCAAACA
rnacentral:rRNA from 1 species